rnacentral:rRNA from 1 species
AUUGAACGCUGGCGGCAGGCCUAACACAUGCAAGUCGAGCGGAUGAAGGGAGCUUGCUCCUGGAUUCAGCGGCGGACGGGUGAGUAAUGCCUAGGAAUCUGCCUGGUAGUGGGGGAUAACGUCCGGAAACGGGCGCUAAUACCGCAUACGUCCUGAGGGAGAAAGUGGGGGAUCUUCGGAUCUCACGCUAUCAGAUGAGCCUAGGUCGGAUUAGCUAGUUGGUGGGGUAAAGGCCUACCAAGGCGACGAUCCGUAACUGGUCUGAGAGGAUGAUCAGUCACACUGGAACUGAGACACGGUCCAGACUCCUACGGGAGGCAGCAGUGGGGAAUAUUGGACAAUGGGCGAAAGCCUGAUCCAGCCAUGCCGCGUGUGUGAAGAAGGUCUUCGGAUUGUAAAGCACUUUAAGUUGGGAGGAAGGGCAGUAAGUUAAUACCUUGCUGUUUUGACGUUACCAACAGAAAAAGCACCGGCUAACUUCGUG